rnacentral:rRNA from 1 species
AUUUUGACGGAGAGUUUGAUCCUGGCUCAGGACGAACGCUGGCGACGGGCCUAACACAUGCAAGUCGAACGCACUCGACCUUCGGGUCACAUGAG